rnacentral:rRNA from 1 species
GACGAACGCUGGCGGCGUGCUUAACACAUGCAAGUCGAACGGAAAGGCCCUGCUUUUGUGGGGUGCUCGAGCGGCGAACGGGUGAGUAACACGUGAGUAACCUGCCCUUGACUUUGGGAUAACUUCAGGAAACUGGGGCUAAUACCGGAUAGGAGCUCCUGCUGCAUGGUGGGGGUUGGAAAGUUUCGGCGGUUGGGGAUGGACUCGCGGCUUAUCAGCUUGUUGGUGGGGUAGUGGCUUACCAAGGCUUUGACGGGUAGCCGGCCUGAGAGGGUGACCGGCCACAUUGGGACUGAGAUACGGCCCAGACUCCUACGGGAGGCAGCAGUGGGGAAUAUUGCACAAUGGGCGGAAGCCUGAUGCAGCAACGCCGCGUGCGGGAUGACGGCCUUCGGGUUGUAAACCGCUUUCGCCUGCGACGAAGCGUGAGUGACGGUAAUGGGUAAAGAAGCACCGGCUAACUACGUG